UACAGAGACUGCAAGCGUUAUUCGGAUUCACUGGGCGUAAAGGGUGCGCAGGCGGCCAAGUGUGUCAGGUGUGAAAUCCCGAGGCUCAACCUCGGAACUGCGCCUGAAACUACUUGGCUAGAGUACUGGAGAGGGUAACGGAAUUCACGGUGUAGCAGUGAAAUGCGUAGAUAUCGUGAGGAACACCAGAGGCGAAGGCGGUUACCUGGACAGUUACUGACGCUCAGGCACGAAAGCGUGGGGAGCAAACAGG
rnacentral:rRNA from 1 species